rnacentral:lncRNA from 1 species
UAUUGGACUUCAUGGAGCCACUGAAGCUUCUUCCUUUCUAGGUUAUAGAAAGUUCUGCUUGUGGUAGGGUUUUGACCUUUUUUUUCCCCCUUGCCCCCAUCUUAAAUUUGAGAUCCCAAACACAUGGAGAUGGUGGAAGCUUCUCUUACCUAACACCUGUUCCCAGGAUAUUAAAAACCCAAUCCUGCAAGAUGCCAGAGCCCCAUCAAAUCGCUUCAGUCUUGCAGGGAACAUUUGAUAUUUCUAAGAAUCCAGGUCCAGAUGAAGUAGCAUUUGCUUAUUCUGUUAAAACAUUGGUUUUUACAUGAACCCUGUCAUCAGGGAUCUGAGCACCCCACAAUCUUCAGUGUAUUGAUCCUUAACACCUAAGGAAAUACUAUUAUCUCCAUUUUACACAUGGAGCUGAAACACAGCUUAGUGACUUGCUCAAGGUCACACAUGAAGUCUAUGAUGGAGCAGGGAGUUGAACUUGUCUCAGAGUGGUGCCGUGACUCCUAGCCCAUCCUCAUUCUCUAGAAUGUAAGUGGAAAGUAACACGUUUACAACACACAUGCUGUCAGAAAGCUGCCGAGAGCCGGAUUCAAACUCAGAGUACAUGGGUACUGCUUAGGUUCAAUGGCCACAGCAUGUCAGCGCAAGUCACCCAGUUACUCUGACAAAUUGCUUUGUCUUGUCAGUUCCGUUCAUGAGAGGUGACAGGGUGGAAAACCCCUUCCGUGGGCAGUCAUUCCACACACUUGAUUGCACAUCCCUGUUUAGAGUCUCUAGGCACUGCUAUAAUUCAAAUAAUAAUUCUGGGAUGUUCAUUUGUUUUUUGCACUACUCUGGAUUUCUUUAGGCAUGUAAAGAUGCAUGUAUGCAGACAGACACUGUCCCUUUUCUGCUCCCUUAUGGCAGGCUGUGGAACCACGUGACUUGCUCACGAAAACAGAAAAGAGACCUGAGGAACAAGCCUUUGGAUGCUACAGUGACUAAGAUGAGGGCUCCUAGGUAUUUGGACACCAAGAUCUGCCCAUCAAGGAUUCACACCAUCACACAGCCAGUCCAUUUUGAAAGAAGAACAACCGGUUCACACUUUGUAUAGCUUUCCUAUUGCCACUGACACCACUGAAAGAUGCCAAAGAGAACAAGGGGAAGAAACAAAGACUAUAUAAGGGAGUGGAGAAUAAGGAAGACUCAGAAAGAGUGAGUGAAGAAAAAGAGAAGGCAAAUUCCAUCGUCAGUUACAUCUGUAUGACCCCAAAUUAAGAAAACAGAACUGUGCCAGUGUAAAUGAAUACGGAAAGACAAGAGGGAGAAGAAACAGGUGCAUGCUAUUGUCAGCUGCACCAAAUGCUUAGAGAAACUAAGCCCAAAUAAAAAUGUUUUAAUUUUUUUGAAGUGGAAGAUU